rnacentral:lncRNA from 1 species
GUAUUUCCGCGGGCGCUGAGCACUAGAGAGAGCGUCUUGUGGCUGCGGCCUGCCCCUCAGCCUCCUCCGCGCGGUUACCCCUGUACCCGCCGCCAUCCGUCCUGGCGCUCCGGAUGAGUCAAUGAGGGGCAGGGCCCGAGGAGUGGUCUUCCCAAGAACCCCUGGUGGCCUCCCAAGGCCGGUGCUGUGUACCUCCUCCCCGACAAAAGGGGAAACUGAGGCCCCGAGGGGAGUGGGAAGAGCCGGCUGGACGUCAGGCCCAGCCGCUGGUGCAGUGGUCCGUCCCCUCUGCCGGGGUGGGCCCCUCGGGUUUCGCGUGUCCUCGGGAAAGAGACUGGCGGGUGAGCCGCGCCCUCGGCCUUCGCUGGGCUAAGCCGACCCCAUGCAGACGUCAAACCCCCCUAGGCCUCGUGGGCUGUGCGGCUAUCCUGGAGACAGAUGACAGCUCUCCCUUGGAUGGCUUUGCUGGUUCCGCACCAGCCAGCGCCCCCAUUUUUCCUGCAGCACCCUGAUCUGCACUCCCUGAGGGGCUCCCACUGUCCGCGGUGUGAGGAUGUCCCUGGAUAGUCCACUGUGUGCAGAGGCAUGGGAGUUGUCAUGUUGGGAACAUGCUAGACCUCAGUAUCCUUGAGGGAUGCUGCCUUGGGUCUGGAAACUGUUAGAGGAAACCCCAAGAGGUGCAGGCACUGAGCCUCUCAGGACAAUGACCUGGGGUCCCAGCUCCCCUGGAGGGGCCUCCUCAUGAUUGUUUGGGGGUUGAUCACAGACCAAGAGUGACGAGUGAUGUCACCCUGUGACUCAUGGCUGGACCUUCUUGCCCCUAUUGUCUCAGCACAACAUUAUUCGACUUUUCCCUCAGCGUGGGUGGGCAGAGGAAAAGCCCUGUGGCUCUGGGGACUUGGGAUCCAGAGUUGAAGACCCUUCAGCUGGCUCUGCCCUGCCAGUGCCACAGAGUGCCAUGGCCCAGGAAGACAGGUUUUCUUCCAUCUAGGCCAGGCCAUCCAGUGGCCAUCCUCCGUGUCCUCCCGCCUCCUCCUGGUGUGACUUCUGAAAACCAAGAAUUUGUUCCUGUUGACUUUUUCUGUGCUAUGGACCAUUGUCCUCUCACCCACUCAAUAAAUCUUGAAACAUGCCCUGCUGCUUGUUCUUUCA